AUCCAGAAUCAACAGGAGCAACUCUUCCUAUUGCACUCUCACCAAAGUCUGCAAUUAAAGUCUCAAUGUUCUUCUCAGGUUUAUGCAGCACUUUAAAACUUGCUGGCAUCACUCCUUCUCCUAGCUUGAACUGAUCUAUCCUUUUCUCCCAAGACUGGAGGUGAAGAGUUUUCAAGAUAAAAUUCUUGACUACUUCAUGCUCCCCGUUCAUCAAAAAAGCCAAGGCACUUGGGACAAAAUCUCUAACAAAGACCUGAUCAUAGUUGAGUUCUUCCAUAGAAUGGUCCAAUGCAGCAAGAGUUCCAACAGGCUGCCCACGGUGAUAAACCAAGGAACGCCUCAAUGAUUCCCACGCUUCAGCCACCAUAGGAUGUAACUCAAAAUAACAGCCUGACAGUGGCGUAUUAUGACCAGACCUUCUUCCUGCCGGAGACCCAAUCUCAAGAUGGUUUCUGUAACUAAGACGAGGUGAUAAGGUAAUUGACAGUUCACUAUUGAAAGACCUUUCAUCAAAGGAUCUCUUCCUCUCUAUAUUAAUCGGUCUAGGUCUCUCCAACAAUUUUAAAAUAUCAGAAUCUUCAAUUUCAAAUAUAGAGCCUGUUGUCUCCAAGCUUUUAACACUUCCAUUAUUAGAAACAUCGAUGGCAGCAAUUGGAGACAUUCUUGAAAUUCUUGAUCAAAGGAAUCUCACCAAUAUCAGUUUUAAGAGAAGAAAAAUCUAGGAAGCGCCGAGGGCGUGCAAGAACAGACUUACUCUACCUUCGUG
rnacentral:misc_RNA from 1 species